rnacentral:misc_RNA from 1 species
AGAGGAAAGGGAGCCGACCAAAUGUUGUGGUGGUUCGCCGGGCGACUUAAAAACUCGCCCUGCCCACCCGCAUCGGCUCCGCUGACUCACCACCCUUUGUUGUUAUUUAUCCAUGUUGCCUCGGGGGAGGUUUUUGCAAAAGAGCCAAACCCGGUGGACUUUAAUACUCUGUUUUACUUUAUCAGUCUGAGUUUAAAUUUUAAAUUAUACAAA